UGAGGAAUAUUGCACAAUGGGCGCAAGCCUGAUGCAGCAACGCCGCGUGAGGGACGAAGGCCUUCGGGUCGUAAACCUCUUUUCUGGGGGACGAGUAAGGACGGUACCCCAGGAAUAAGUCUCGGCUAACUACGUGCCAGCAGCCGCGGUAAAACGUAGGAGGCGAGCGUUAUCCGGAUUUACUGGGCGUAAAGCGUACGCAGGUGGCUUCGUUAGUCGGACAUGAAAGCUCCUGGCUUAACUGGGAGAGGUUGUUCGAUACUGCGGGGCUUGAGGUUGGGAGAGGGACGUGGAAUUCCCGGUGUAGUGGUGGAAUGCGUAGAUAUCGGGAGGAACACCAGUGGCGCAAGCGGCGUCCUGGCCCACACCUGACGCUGAGGUACGAAAGCGAGGGUAGCAAACAG
rnacentral:rRNA from 1 species